rnacentral:rRNA from 1 species
GGAGGAUCCAAGCGUUAUCCGGAUUUAUUGGGUUUAAAGGGUGCGUAGGCGGCGUGUUAAGUCAGAGGUGAAAGCCUGCAGCUCAACUGUAGAACUGCCUUUGAUACUGGCGCGCUUGAGUACAGAUGAAGUGGGCGGAAUGUGACAAGUAGCGGUGAAAUGCAUAGAUAUGUCACAGAACACCGAUUGCGAAGGCAGCUCACUAAAGUGUAACUGACGCUGAGGCACGAAAGCGUGGGGAUCAAACAGGAUUAGAUACCCUGGUAGUCCACGCCCUAAACGAUGAUUACUCGCUGUCGGCGAUAUACAGUCGGCGGCUAAGCGAAAGCGUUAAGUAAUCCACCUGGGGAGUACGGUCGCAAGAUUGAA